rnacentral:rRNA from 1 species
AGUUAUAGCCACAUCACCCUGAACAUGCCACAUCCCAUCUGAUCUUGGAAACCAAUCAGGUUAGUACUUGGAUGGGAGACGGCUCCAAGGAACUAGAGAAGAACGACUGUAGUUU